rnacentral:rRNA from 1 species
AGUGAACGCUGGCGGUAGGCCUAACACAUGCAAGUCGAACGGCAGCACAGUAAGAGCUUGCUCUUACGGGUGGCGAGUGGCGGACGGGUGAGGAAUACAUCGGAAUCUACUUUUUCGUGGGGGAUAACGUAGGGAAACUUACGCUAAUACCGCAUACGACCUACGGGUGAAAGCAGGGGAUCUUCGGACCUUGCGCGAUUGAAUGAGCCGAUGUCGGAUUAGCUAGUUGGCGGGGUAAAGGCCCACCAAGGCGGCGAUCCGUAGCUGGUCUGAGAGGAUGAUGAGCCACACGGGAGGGGAGACACGGUCCAGAGGCCGACGGGAGGGAGCAGUGGGGAAUGGUGGACAAGGGGGGGAAGGGGGAGGCAGGGAUAGCGCGUGGGGGAAGGAGGCCUUGGGGUUGUGAAGGCGUUUUGUUGGGAAAGGAGAGCAGGAGGUGAAGACGGCGCUGUUCUGACGGUACCGAAAGAAUAAGCACCGGCUAACUUCGUG